UGUCUUCAUGCAUCAAAAUCUGUUAAGGACUACCGGACUAGUUGGAAUCUCGGAGAGGAGUUAUGCCCAAUGCCUAUUGCUUUCUGUCAGGCGUGGGGCUCGGAAAGCCGAAUGGAUCCCAAAUCACCCGCUUAACUCCUUCCUCCACUGACAAUCAUAGCCCUUCGGUCCAAGUUUCUUUUGCGUUAUGAACAGGGGAGGAGAUUGAAUUGGUUGCUUGUCGAGGAUUGAAGGAAUCAGGAUUCAUUGUGAUAGGAACUUGCUUGAAAACAAAGGGUAAAAUGGAGUUUGACUUUUAGCAUAUACUACAAAAGCAGCAACUUCAGAGAAAAUGCAGAGAUUUUCUUUGAGAAGUAUGUUUUUCUUGUACUAUCGUAAUCUUAUCCCACAUCCUUUGAGAAAUCCAUCAAUGAUUGGACAUCGAGAUAUUGUAGCUCUGCUCUCUUCUACUGGCUUUGAUGUAAGCACUUUUCGAACUUCUUCAAAGUCACAUGCUAAAAACAAGCCAUUGGGAUCCGAGAGCAGCAGUAGCAAUUUAAUGUCCUAUGUUGGAACAAGUGAGUUUGGCCUUGUCCAUCUCGAUGCUAGUUCAGGAAAUACAAGUGACCAAAGCCACAAUGAGUUUGCUUCUGAUGUUGAAAAGAUUUAUAGAAUACUGAGAAAGUUCCACUCCAGGGUUCCUAAAUUGGAGCUUGCGUUGCAGGAAUCAGGAGUUGUUGUGCGGUCUGGCUUAACUGAGCGUGUAUUGAACCGCUGUGGUGAUGCUGGGAAUUUGGCAUAUAGAUUCUUUGUGUGGGCUUCAAAGCAAUCAGGCUAUAAACACAGUCACGAGGUGUACAAAGCUAUGAUUAAGGUUUUGGGGAAAAUGCGGCAAUUUGGGGCUGUUUGGGCUCUUAUUGAAGAAAUGAGGAAGGAGAACCCAGAGUUAAUUUCAUCUGAGGUGUUUGUUAUUUUGAUGAGGAGGUUUGCUUCUGCGAGGAUGGUUCAGAAGGCCAUUGAAGUAUUGGACGAAAUGCCCAAAUACGGGUGCGAGCCAGAUGAAUAUGUUUUUGGGUGCUUGUUAGAUGCACUGUGCAAAAAUGGUAACGUCAAGGAAGCAGCUUCGCUGUUUGAGGACAUGAGAUUUCGAUUUACGCCAACAGCAAAGCAUUUUACAUCAUUGCUGUAUGGUUGGUGUAGAGAAGGGAAGCUUAUGGAAGCAAAGCAUGUGUUGGUACAGAUGAAGGAUGCAGGGAUUCAGUUGGAUGUAGUGGUUUAUAACAAUUUGCUUAGUGGGUAUGCUCAAGCUGGAAAAAUGGGAGAUGCUUAUGAUCUUUUGAAAGAAAUGAAAAGUAAAGGCUGUGAACCAAAUGCAACAUCAUACACGAUUUUGAUUCAAGCACUUUGCAAACAGGAAAAUCUGGAACAGGCAAUGCGGGUUUUUAUUGAAAUGCAGAGAAGUGACUGCGAGGUGGAUGCUGUAACCUAUACCACAUUGAUAAGUGGGUUUUGCAAGUGGGGAAAAAUUGAGAAGGGUUAUGAGCUUUUGGAUCAGAUGAUACAGCAAGGCCAUGCUCCAAAUCAGCUGACUUAUCUGCAUAUUAUGGCUGCUCAUGAAAAGAAGGAAGAACUGGAAGAGUGUAUGGAAAUUGUAAAGGAGAUGCAGAAGAUUGGUUGUACUCCUGACCUUAAAAUCUACAACAUAGUCAUUAGGUUGGCUUGCAAGUUAGGAGAGGUUAAAGAGGGUGUUCAGCUUUGGAAUGAAAUGGAAGCAAGUGGGCUUAGUCCAGGGAUUGACACCUUUGUCAUUAUGAUUCAUGGUUUUCUUGAGCAAGGUUACUUAGUUGAGGCCUGUGAACAUUUUAAAGAGAUGGCUGGGAGGGGUCUUUUUGCUGCUCCUCACUAUGGUACUUUAAAGGAGUUGAUGAAUUCUCUACUCAGAGCUGAGAAGCUUGAAAUGGCUAAAGAUGUCUGGAAUUGUAUCACAACUAAAGGGUGUGAACUUAAUGUGAGUGCUUGGACAAUUUGGAUUCAUGCACUCUUUUCAAAAGGACAUGUAAAGGAGGCUUGUUCGUAUUGUUUGGACAUGAUGGAUUCAGGGUUAAUGCCGCAGCCAGAUACUUUCGCAAAGCUUAUGCGCAGCCUAAGGAAAUUGUAUAACAGGCAACUUGCUGCAGAGAUCACUGAGAAGGUGAGGAAGAUGGCUGCUGAUAGGCAGGUCACUUUCAAGAUGUAUAAGCGACGAGGAGAGAGAGACUUGAAAGAAAAGGCAAAGGAGAAAAAGGAGGGGAGAAAGAGGAGGGCUAGAAGGCGCCGUUGGGGUGGAGGACGUGGGAAAUCUAAUGCCUUGUAAAUCACAGGAGAGAAGUGUGACGUGAAAUCUGAAGAUUUCCUGGAGGAGUCUGGUUUCCAGCCUGCACGUUAUGGGAAUAGCCUGAUAUGCCUGGUUUUUUCUUAAGGCGACAUCGUUGGAUGACAUUCGAAUAGCAGUUCAGUUGUAUUUUGGCCAGUGGAUGCUGGAUCUUGUAUCGGGUUUACGUUCCUGCCAAUUUACCAUGGUUUUGCGUAACAAAGUGCCAAUGAGUUGUUACUUAGUGGCUCAAUUGGCAUAGACAACAAAGCAUGUGGAAUAUCGACCAACUGAGAUGUUUUGCAUUUAGACUGUUCAGUUCACGGAUUUUGGUCACCAAAAAGCUAA